UCAUGGGAUUCUCUCCAACCAGUAAAACAAUAUUUUAUUUACCAACUGGUACAGAACAAUCUACUAAACAACAAUUUUCUGAACCCACCUUCUGACCAGACUUCCUUUCCAUCUACAGAAACUCCAACCACUAUGCCCGGUGCGCCCACCUCAUCCUAAAAUCGAUGGGGAAAGAACCUACAGUUAGAGACCUGCGGAAAAAGCCCAGCGCUCUUCUCUGGGGCCUUCCAAGUCCUCUCCCUUUCCGUCUGGACUCCGCCCCCUGUACCCAAGCCCCACCCCUCCACCCGGGCCCCGCCCUCUCCACAGGGCCCCGCCCACCUCAUCCCAGGCCAGACUCGCUAACAGCAAGGGAUGUGCCCUGUCCGCCCCUUGGGGGAAGAGGCAGUCCCCGAGACGGGCGGUGACCUCCGCCCCGAUUUGGGGAACCCCUAAGAGCGUCUGACCAAGGCUCAGCGGUAGAAUAAAGAAGAGAGCUCACAGACUUGAACUGACAAACCAUCAAGAGAAAAAGCUGUAAACAUACUGAGAUUCUAGAGACCACCCUCAUUCCUUAGCCCCUUCAUCUGCCGUCAAAGCCAGCAGCAUAGCAGCUUCCAGCCUCUCUGACCCCUGGACCGUGGCUCCUUCUUGUGACAUUUGGUGCAGCUGGAUGAUCCCGGAGAAUCUCCUUAUUACAAGGUUCUUCGUUUAAUCACAUCCACAAGGUUCCUUUUGCCCAUAAAGUAACAUAUUCACAGGUUCCAGGGGUGAAGACAUGGACAUUUUAAGGGAACCAUUAGUCAGCCUGUCUCCUUUGCUCAGUGUUUUUUUUUUUAAUUCCCACAGCAAAAUCAUAGUUAAACCAGCCUAUGAGUAGAGGCUGCUGAUAAACCUGAAACCAGAGUAGGGGUAUGUACCAUCUCCAUGGACAGGUAGGUCAUCGCCUGGCCGCGAAUCAGCUGGGCCCCAGUCUGACAUCCAAUCAAUAAGGGGUGGAAACUUCUGACACUCGGGCUUCCCUUCUUGCAGACACUGUAGACUUUUGACAGGUGGACUCCAGUGCUGAUUGUCAGGUACUGCUCUACUUACUCCCAACUCUCCAUCUCUGACACAGUUAUAACUCAUCUUUUAGGGUUGCUCGAUGGGACCUGUCUCAUCCGGGGUUCUCGUUAAUCGUUGCCCAUUAACCUCUCUGACAGAUCGUGUUACAAACCAGUUCCCAGCGACAGCAUUUGAGCUAGUCUUACCCAGGACCUCACAGCAUUUGAGCCAGUCUUACCCAGGACCUCACAGCUCUCUGCCCUUCUCUCCCUACCUCUCUGACUUAUGGCCACACACCCCAGGUUCCAAAGUCUGCUCUGCCCUUCCCUUGUCUUUUUGACAAUUUGUUAGGACUUUCCUUUCUGGAUUCUGUGUAGAAUAAUCUCAUCCAUUAUGUGUUGAGUUUUAUGAGUAAACUUGUCUGAAAAUUUAAAUACCCUCUUCAUGUCUACCUUUUUUAAAAAAAACUCUCUCAAUUUUCUGUGUUAGGCAAUAUCUGUCUUUAUGAAAAUCAUUCUCUAAGUAUUCUGCAAGAAUGUUUAUGCACCAGGCUCUGGGUAAGGCUCAGAGAGCCUAGAGGCUAGUAGAGAAAAUGAAUUUUUAUCAAAUCAUCACAUUCACACGUGUAAUUACAAAUGAAGAUUAAUUGUGCUUACCAAAGAAGCAUGGUUAAUGAAAAUUUAAAACAGAGACCUGCCCCAGAUUGGGGGUCCUCAAGGGAAACUUCUUUAUGGAAGUGCCAUUUGAACUGUGAUCAUCAGAUAGGUGACAGGGAGAAGUGGGGAAGCUGGGAGGUGACUGUGGCGGCUGCAAGCAGGGACAGACAAAUGGGGAGAAAAGGUCAAGAGGCAGUUGCAGAGGCAGGCAGAGGCCAAGGCGAGGGUUUGAGUUUUAGCCUAAGAGCAAAGAUUUUCAGCAAGGAGAGGGUGGGGACAGCAUCAGGUGUCCUGAAACCAUCUUCCUGUAGCAUGGUGAACAGCUUUUAUGGGGAGUGAGAAGACAGAAUUGGUGUAGGGGGAGCAGUUAGGAGGUUCUUUCAGUAACAGAGGUGACACAUGAAGGCGACCUGGCUGGGAUGGUAGGAAUAGAGAAGAAGAGGAGUGGUUGGCUUCUCAGAGGUAGUUUGGAAGUAAAAAUCUAUCAGGAGAUGGUGACAGUUUGAAUAUGAGGCAAGAGAGUGGAAAGUGUUGAAGAUGAAACCAAGCUUCAUAGCAUCUGUAAGUUACCAUUAACUCGCCUGAUGUUUACAUUUAACUGCAAUGAAACUUUUUUUUUUUUUUUUCUUGA